UUCCGGGUCCAUAGAGCCCCGCCCCAUCCCUCCCCCAGGAUGCUUCAGCCUUUUCCUCCAAUCACACUCAGGCCCUGGAUUUUUUUGCCGAUGAUGCCGGGGAUGCAGAGAAACUCGAGUUUGUAGGAAGACCCUGAAUCUAAGGGACCCCCGGUUGGAAUGACCCUGAAGAUUGAUGAGGAACAUUGAUUUGAGACAGGAUUUGGAUUUUAUGUUAAAAGGAGUGAGUUAUAAAGUAAAUGCCAAGGAGGAUGGCAAGCCACAAAAAGAAGAGAAACAUCAAACCAGGAACGGCAGAAUGGAGAAUACAGCCAAUGUUUUCAGGCAACCGGAAUGGAAGAAGGUUGGAAUGACCCUGAAGAUUGAUGAGGAACAUUGCCUUGAGACAGGAUUUGGAUUUUAUGUAAAAAUAAGUGAGUUAUAAAGUGAAUGCCAGGGAAGAUGGCAAGCCAAAUAAAGAAGAGAAACAUCAAACCAGGAAGGGCAGAAUGGAGAAUUCGGCCAACAUUUUCAGGCAAUCGGAAUGAAAGAAGUCAUGGACCCAUUUUGACCUUAUCUUGGUACGGUGUUAAGUGUGGAUCCAUGCCUCAUUUCUGCCAUACUGAUUUCCAGCUUUCCCAGCAUUUUUUGUCAAACAGUGAGUUUUUAUCCCAAAGCUGGGGUCUUUGGGUUUGUCAAACACUCGAGUAUUAAAGUUGUUGACUGUUUUGUCCUUUGAACCUAACCUAUUCCAUU